CAGAGGAGGAUUCUUGGGCCAAGGGGGUCGAAGAGCGGGAGGAUGGAUCCACAGCAGGUACUGAUGGGCUCCUGGGACUAGGGAGGGUGCUCCCUGACAAAGGUGCUCCCUGUUCGGUGCUGAGCCCUACUGCAAUGAUCUGGAAAUCUCCAUAGCUCCAUCUCUCCAAAGGCUGCCCAUGGGAAUCACCCUCUCCACAAGAGGAUAGAGUUCACAGGCACAGAGCAUAUGGCCGGGAGCCAGCCUUUGUCUCCCCAUCCGAGCAAUGGGCAUUAUCUGUCCUUCUUAGAGAGCUCAGCUAGGCAAGAGCACAGUAGCUUCCGACUCAGGCCUACCAUCUUCAGAUCCUGGCCACAGUUCUCACUGACCUAUGCCUCAGUUUCCCCACCUGCAAGUCAGAGGUGGCAUCCAUUCUUUCCUUCGUGGUGGAGAAGGUAAGACGCGGCUGACACUACAUAGCAGGCGUUCAAGCCGAUCCCAAAGCCGAUCACUCGCUCCUGACCCAAUGCAACCACGUCUACCCCGAGCUAACCUUGUGCCAGGUGGGCUGAGUGCCAGGCCGUAACAUCCAGCUGCUGCGGCAGAUUCUGAUGUUUGCCCUUCUCGACAGCAGGCAGGUGCACAGACUCCUUUCCAGUUACACCCAGCAGAGAAAUGAACAGACCAACCAACUACCAAACACCAAGAGAGGAAGUAGCCCCAGGAGCACAGACAGAAAGGGGGGUCCGUGAGGGCCACUAAGGGAGCAGGGAGGGCAAGGCAUUGAUGCCCAGAUCCCACCCAUAUAUGUCACAGAAGAAAACACUCACAGACAGAGCACCAACAGGGAGCCUGGCACACAGGAGGUCUUCGUCAGAGAACCAAGAGCCCAGCUCCACAGGACAUGAGGACCACGGUCCACUUCAUAGUACACAUAGAAAGACAGGCUUAGACUGUGCAGCCAAGCGCCCCAUUCUGGGGUCUCCAUCUAGGGGGCCUGCAGUUGGUAUAAGCCAAUGGGAGAUGGGGCAACAACAAGCAUCUCAAGAUGGCUGGGCUGUCAUGUUAUCAGCACCCCUCUUGACCGACCCAAACUCUACACAGUCAGGCAGUGCCAAGGACCAAGGCAGUAGUAGAACGUAAACAACCAGGAAAUGGGGCCGGCGUUAUUGCUUUGCUUAGCGGUUUGUGGAGAACGAAGAUGAUCAGUCCAAGUUCCAUGCAGUGACUUCUCAGACAUCAUCAGUAGACAGCCAUGCACCUACAGGACAAAUCCUUUACCCUUGGCCUUGUGUCUCAGCUCUUGAACCACGCUUCUUCCUUCCCUCCAGCUCCUGGCCACUGCCCUGUUACCCAAGAGGGCACUUGGUCCUCCCAUCUGUCCCUCAAACUGUCCUUUGCUCAGACUUCCUGUAUAAGAGCCCACAUCCUAUCUGCCAGCAAACGUCCUUCCUGUGUUCAUGUACCUCUCCUAUCCCAACACAGUAUCAUCCUUGGCCUAUGUUUCUGUGUGUGUGUGUGACAAUAACUGAGUUGUGCUGAUGCACCUUUAGUAAAUGGGAAAGUAAGUCCCAGCGGGGCCAUAUUCCAAGUGUGACCUGCUGGGUGGAGAGUCAGCAUUGUACAAGAAGCUACUGCCGUAAGCUGUGGAAAUGAGCCCAUGUGAGUGAGCCCUGGUGCGUGCAAAGCCAGCUGUGCAUCACCAUGUGCUGUGCACUGCUCACAGCCUCCUGCCAAGAGGCUGCCUGUUCCAGAAUCCAAAAUGUUGGCCUGCGUCCAGCAUCCGGGGGGAGAAGUCUGCUGUCCCAGCCAAGUCAGCUGUCCAUCAACCUUAGAGAAAGCAAGAGGUGAGCCUCACCUGGAUCCCCAAAUGUUCACCCCUCUGUCCAGGGCUUUCUUUAGGACCACCUGCUGAAGAAACACCAUCUCAGCUCACCCCGGGAACUGAAAAUAACCCCAACAAACACAAUGCAUUCUAGAAUAUCCACUCAGUGGAAAUCUGGGCCAUGACUAAAAGCUGCUUCCAGAGACUGCAGAAAGGCAAAGGGAAUGUGUGUGACAUCCAGCCGAGGGAGGAAUCAGCAGGGAAACAAAGGUGUGUGGUCAAGAAACCCCUGGUCACCACCAUUCAGGUUCCUGACUCUCCAACAGGAAAAGCCAGAGAAGAAACAGCGGGGAAGCCAGCUGUGGCUAUCUGAGUAGACCAGCUUCCUCCCUCCUUCCUUAGCCCUGUUGUCCAUUUUUAAUUACUAAGUGCCUUCGAAAAGCCAUGCAGCAUGCUGCCAAACUUCAUAGCAGGGCAUGGGCUCCGCGUUAGAGUUAUCUUCAUCACCUUGUGAAGGGAGUCACAGAUCCUACCCGCCACAGAUGCAGGACCUCAUCCAGUCCUCCACAAAUGCAGGACCUCAUCCAGUCCUCCAAGGUCCAUCAAGGCAGCUGGAUGUAACCAAGCAGCAGGCAGAUGUCGACAAAGACCCCACCCCCGGCUUUUGUUAGUUCCCAGUGCAGCCUAGGCCUCCUCUCCCUCCACGAUGAUCAGAUGUGGGAGAACCAACAGCUGGAGAGCUGUAAACCACCCAAACCAGCACAGCCUUCUCCUCCUGUGUGUCCUGCUGGUGGUAGGUGGAUGCUCUCCCUUCAGGGCCAGCCAGACCCCUGGGAGCACAUUGACUGUGGACAUACCUGCCACUUUGCCUUUGCUAGCAAGUCUGGGUGGCACCCCUGCCUCAGGUCCCCUGAGCUCUACAGGGCUCAGGAGGUGCCCUGACAGCUGCCUUGAAGGGGAUGGGGGGUGGGGAGGGGUAGAUUCAAGUAUGAGAGGGGCCAUCCAUUCACUUCUCUCCCCAAGAACUGGAAUGAUUCCAGCACACUCUUCAAUGCCAAGAGCCAGGAGCAGGCCUCACUUCCCCCAGCAAGGCAGAACUACUUCCCAAGUUCCUAAGUUCCCCUGAGAAAUGUCUCCUGUCCCCCAACCCCUCAACCCCCCAUCUCAGCCAUCCUGCACACCCGGACCAUGCUUUUUCCACCCAUCCACCCAUGGAGGCAGUCAGGAUGAUGGGCAUAAGUCACUCAAGUAGGAACAAGCUGUGAUGUCUACACGUGACCUUGAGCAACCUAUGUGACCGUCCUCUGCACAUGGGCUUUCUCUUGUCCAAGAUAGAGUUCAUCACUGGGCUCCGGCGAGACUCAUACAAGAACAUAGGUUGGCCAUGCACAAGACCGUGGACAGUCCUCGGCUGUCCUGCUCUGCUUACCUCCUUCAGAGACUGGGCCUGUGUAGGCAGGUCCCAGCCGGUCCACAGGCCUCAGUUUACUGACUGUGCUCACAGAGACACUCUACCACUGCAGGAUGACCACAGGCUUCGAACCCCACACAGGGACUGGGGCCUGAAGCACAGAAGCAGGAUCCACCAUCCCAAGCACACCAGGCAGAAACGAGGGAUUUUUCACUGGGGACAGACACCUGGCUUCACCUCCAGCUGUCACCAACCCCAGGGGUUCUCCUGGUGGCUUUCUGUCCUCUUGUUACCCUGCCCUGACUCCUGAACCAGGCUUCCAUAUUAGCUAAACAGCACAAUCGGCUUCACAACAGGUUCUUCAGCCACAGGACUCCUACAGAAAGAACCUGGCCUUCUCUGCUGAAGUUCGGUAAAAUCCUCUCUCUGGCGGCACAGGCUUCGCACCCCAUCUCCUACAUCAGUUGCACUUGGCUCCACCCCUUCCGUGUCCCAUCUGACUCCACAGGGUUCCUUCCUGGAUCUUCACAGUCUCCCCAUCCUGCUUGGAGCCCAGGCCCUGCCUGCAUCUGUGGAAUGAGAGAGGCACUGCUCUGCAGGAGCUGCAGCCCAGUAGACAGAGCAGAAGUGGAGGCAGGGGGAUGGUCCAAAGUGGCACUGGACACAGCAGGGAUAAGAGUUCCUGCCUACAAAGACACCAGCUUCCAGGUACCCGUAGUAUCUCUUCCCCUAUCCCUGCUGUCCCAUAACGUGGCCCUAUUUGAUGCCUCGUGUCUUGGGUGACAGUGCUUGGAUCUGAAGGUCUUGCACCUUCUCCCCAGGCCCCUGGGAUGGUGUGUUCUCCUCUGUGUGCCCUGAUGGGAAGUCAAGUCUGCAAGACACAGAGGUCUCCAACAAAGGGAAGCCAUCCGACAGAUUGCAUCACUACUCGGAAGAGCCUGGUCACGUGAGAACAAAGGGAUUCAUUGUGUUCACAGUGUUCGAUGCUGCAGCGGUUUGCUACAGCAGCGGACAUGACUGUCCUAAUACACGAUAGAGCCACAGUGACCCACACCACCAGAGAUGGCUUGCCUCCUGAGCCUGCCAUGUUUCAGCCAUCACCAAUAUUAGCCUUCACAACAAUGAUGCACAGUAGAGACAAAUGGGGAAACUGAGGCUCAAAGCAGGGAAGCAUCUCCCUGAGCUCACAUAGCAGGCAUGUGCCAUUUCCCUGAGUCCUGUCCCUCCACAGCCUGGAUGCUGUACAAGACAAUGUUCAGAACAUCAAAUCAAGCAUGGCGUGGUGAUUAGCUUUACGGCAAUUUGACACCAGCUGGAGUCAUUGGAGAGGAGGGAGCCUCGGUUGAGAAAAUGCCUCCAUGAGAGUGGGUUAUAAGUAAGUCUGUAGGACAUUUUCCUAAUUAGUGAUUGAUGGGGGAGGGCCCAGCCCAUUGUGGGUGAGUCAGGACUCUAUAAAAAAGCAAGCUGAGCCAGACGGCAGUGGCACACAUCUUUAAUCCCAGCACUCAGGAAGCAGAGCCAGGUGGAUCUCUGUGAGUUCGAGGCCAGCCUGGUCUACAGGGUGAGAUCCAGGACAGGCACCAGAAUUACAUGGAGAAAUCCUGUCUUAAAAAAGGA